GACCCCGUGGAGCUUUACUGUAGCUUGAUAUUGAAUGUUUGUGCUGCAUGUGCAGGAUAGGUAGGAGACUUUGAAGUCGGAACGCUAGUUUCGAUUGAGUCACCCUUGAGAUACUACCUCUGUUGUAUGAACGUUCUAACUCUGAUCAGUUAUCCUGAUCGAAGACAGUGUCUGGCAGGCAGUUUGACUGGGGCGGUCGCCUCCUAAAAGAUAACGGAGGCGCUCAAAGGUUUGCUCAGAAUGGUUGGAAAUCAUUCGUAGCGUGUAAAGGCAUAAGCAAGCUUGACUGUGAGACUGACAAGUCGAGCAGGUACGAAAGUAGGACUUAGUGAUCCGGUGGUUCCGUAUGGAAGGGCCAUCGCUCAACGGACAAAAGCUACCCCGGGGAUAACAGGCUCAUCUCCCCCAAGAGUCCACAUCGACGGGGAGGUUUGGCACCUCGAUGUCGGCUCAUCGCAUCCUGGGGCUGUAGUCGGUCCCAAGGGUUGGGCUGUUCGCCCAUUAAAGCGGUACGCGAGCUGGGUUCAGAACGUCGUGAGACAGUUCGGUCCCUAUCCGUCGUGGGCGCAGGAAAUUUGAGAGGAUCUGUCCUUAGUACGAGAGGACCGGGAUGGACAUACCUCUGGUGUACCAGUUGUUCUGCCAAGAGCACCGCUGGGUAGCUACGUAUGGAUUAGAUAAUCGCUGAAAGCAUCUAAGUGAGAAACUAACCUCGAGAUGAGAUUUCCCAUUCGUCAGAAGUAAGACCCCUGAGAGACGAUCAGGUAGAUAGGCUAGAAGUGGAAGUGUAGUGAUGCAUGGAGCGGACUAGUACUAAUAGGUCGAGGACUUAACCAAG
rnacentral:rRNA from 1 species